UGCGUAGGCGGUUAUUUAAGUCAGGAUGUGAAAGCCCCGGGCUUAACCUGGGAACUGCAUUUGAAACUGAGUAACUAGAGUUUAGUAGAGGGGAGCGGAAUUUCCGGUGUAGCGGUGAAAUGCGUAGAGAUCGGAAGGAACACCAGUGGCGAAGGCGACUCCCUGGACUAGAACUGACGCUGAGGUACGAAAGCGUGGGUAGCAAAACA
rnacentral:rRNA from 1 species